CUUUUCACAGGCAUACACAUUGGUCCCGGCAUAAAUCCAUCAGUUCUCCAGCCAUUUUGCAAAACAGAAGUUUGGAUAACACUCUUCUUUAACAAUUUAACGGACCCAGAUGUUGGCUGGGCAUGUAAAGUCAUCAAGGUUCUUCAACCAGAUUUGUGGUUUGCAAGCCUAGUAUUCCCCGACAUGAAUGUAAGUAUGGAAGGUUACAUCCACCUGCUCCAGACACUUGCGGAAUCAGGAGUGACAGUUCUACGUGGUGGAGGAAUACUUGUGCCACUGACUUGGGCCACACCUGAACUACGGCAAGAGCUAGAGACCCUGACGAGGAAGUACCUGCAGUGUUCUUUCUUUGUAGUGGAUAACAACGUUAUGUGGUAAAACUGGUCUUUGGUUCUUCACCCAAGAAGCUCUCCAUAGUGAAUGAAUUAGUAAUGGUUAUGAUGUCAUUUGAAUAUACCUCCCACCAAAGAAGGAAAAUGUUUCUGUUGCA